AGUACUUUUUUUUGUUACUUUUAGGUAAGCCUAUUCAAAAAUUGUUUUUAAUUAUUUAUUUACACAAGAUUUGGUUAUGAUUUCAGGUCAUUUUAUUUCAAAGAUGAUUCGGUUGCAUAAUUAGCAAAUUAUUUUUCAUAAGCUAAUUUUCUACAGCCCUCAUCACAAAGCAAAAAACGAUUUUUCCAAAGUUAAUUUUCUGCAGCCCUCGUCACAUAACAAAAAAGAUUUUUCUUGAUAUCUCGAGUUUCUGGAGCAUUUAUUUCCAUAAAGAAAAAAAUAUUUCUUUCUCCAGAAGGACUCGCAAGGAUAUGAAGAUUAUGUUCUGAAAAAAAUUGAAAAUAAACUUAAUUUUAGUUUAUUUUAA